rnacentral:rRNA from 1 species
GACCUCAAAUCAGGUAGGACUACCCGCUGAACUUAAGCAUAUCAAUAAGCGGAGGAAAAGAAACUAACAAGGAUUCCCCUAGUAACUGCGAGUGAAGCGGGAAAAGCUCAAAUUUAAAAUCUGACGGUCUUUUGGUCGUCCGAGUUGUAAUCUAGAGAAGUGUUAUCCGCGUUGGACCGUGUACAAGUCUCCUGGAAUGGAGCGUCAUAGAGGGUGAGAAUCCCGUCUUUGACACGGACUACCAGUGCUUUGUGAUGCGCUCUCAAAGAGUCGAGUUGUUUGGGAAUGCAGCUCAAAAUGGGUGGUAAAUUCCAUCUAAAGCUAAAUAUUGGCGAGAGACCGAUAGCGAACAAGUACCGUGAGGGAAAGAUGAAAAGAACUUUGGAAAGAGAGUUAAACAGUACGUGAAAUUGCUGAAAGGGAAACGCUUGAAGUCAGUCGCGUUGUCCGGGAAUCAACCUUGCUUUUGCUGGGUGUACUUUCCGGUUGACGGGUCAGCAUCAAUUUUGACCGUUGGAUAAAGUGUAGGGGAAUGUGGCAUCUUUGGAUGUGUUAUAGCCCUUGCUCGCAUACAACGGUUGGGAUUGAGGAACUCAGUACGCCGCAAGGCCGGGAAUUUAUUCUACGUUCGUACUUAGGAUGCUGGCAUAAUGGCUUUAAUCGACCCGUCUUGAAACACGGACCAAGGAGUCUAACAUGCCUGCGAGUGUUUGGGUGGAAAACCCGAGCGCGUAAUGAAAGUGAAAGUUGAGAUCCCUGUCGUGGGGAGCAUCGACGCCCGGACCAGACCUUUUGUGACGGAUCUGCGGUAGAGCAUGUAUGUUGGGACCCGAAAGAUGGUGAACUAUGCCUGAAUAGGGUGAAGCCAGAGGAAACUCUGGUGGAGGCUCGUAGCGAUUCUGACGUGCAAAUCGAUCGUCAAAUUUGGGUAUAGGGGCGAAAGACUAAUCGAACCAUCUAGUAGCUGGUUCCU